CAGUCGCCACGGUAAAACGUAGGUGGCAAGCGUUGUCCGGAAUUAUUGGGCGUAAAGGGCUCGCAGGCGGUUUCUUAAGUCUGAUGUGAAAGCCCCCGGCUCAACCGGGGAGGGUCAUUAGAAACUGGGAAACUUGAGUGCAGAAGAGGAGAGUGGAAUUCCACGUGUAGCGGUGAAAUGCGUAGAGAUGUGGAGGAACACCAGUGGCGAAGGCGACUCUCUGGUCUGUAACUGACGCUGAGGAGCGAAAGCGUGGGGAGCGAACAGGAUUAGAUACCCCCGUAGUCCCUGUCUCUUAUAC
rnacentral:rRNA from 1 species